GUGCGGCAGGGUAUGGAAACUCGCUGGUGCGAGAGGGAGAAAUGAACCGUAGCUUCCUCUCUUGAUCUCUGAGCACGACUAAUACAUUUAUAACAUUAAAAGAUUUGACAAUAGGUAAACCAUAGAUGAACCACAUACUAUGUUUUUCGAGGUGUUAUUAGUGAUUUUAAUAGGAGUUUCAUUAUUGUUAUUUCCUAAAGGUGUUAGUGUGGUUAGAACAAAAAUAAUUUAAGAAUAGGUGUAAAAAUUAAAUAAACCCUUUUUAAAAUCAUGGAAUAUAUUGGAACUAGAAGCAGACCACUUAAAAAGAUGAAGCGGUUUUUAAAACGUUUGAGUUUGUGUUUACAGAUGUCAGAUUUAACCUCCCAGCCUCACGAAAUAAAAAUUAACCUGAAUGAUAUAGCUAAAGAUUGGAAGUGCAUAUGUUUAUGUAAGGAAAUACUAUUUACAUUUCUUAGAAUUGAGAAUUUGGAAGUAAUAAGCUACACAAAUUGGCUCAGAUGUGGGGAAAAGAGAAAAAUGGCGUGGAGAAACUUUUAAUGCUCAACCUUUUAAAAGAUUCUGCCACACAAAGUUAAGAAGGAAAGUGUAUUCGAUACAUAGCUAGAGCAAUUUACGUAUACAAGACAUACAGACUGAGAUCCUGUUACAAAUAAAUUUAUGCAACAUGGUAAGAAGGAUGAAAAAGAAGCUCUGAAAUUAUAUACGGAAACACAUCACUGCAAUAUAGUAACAUCUGGAUCAGUGAUGUCAAAAAUAUUUCCAUGUCUAGGAUGGAGUCAUAUUUGAACAUGGUGUUCCCACAAAGUUACUUGAAAUUUAGUGCCCAUUUAUUGGAAAAGAUAACCUUCCUGAAGAGAAGCAUAGUUACUAUGCACAAGUUCACUUGGGUAUGACUCUCCUAGGUUUAAAUUCCACAAAAUUAAUUCAAUAUUCUAGCAUGCUAAAUCAUAUUUAGAAAUUCUUGUAGAUUUUAAUGAGAAUUUUGCUGCAGGAAUGAUUAAAAAAAUCUCGUAAAAUAAAAAAGAAAUUAAAUGUACAAACUCACAAACCAUUUUGCAUUUAUAUACAAAAAGUAUAACAUAAAGUAAACUAUAAGUUUGUUUAUUUUAUUCAUGUAAAGAAAAUUUACAUUCUAAAAAAAAUAGAAUUCGGCAUAGGAAAGGAGAUUCUUCUAAAUGGUAUAUUUAGUAUUUAUGUUGAUAGGAAUUUUAAUGUAAUUAAUUUAAAUUAUAAUUUAAAAGAACACAAAGAAACUGACUAAAUGCUUAAUUUAUUGUUCUAUCUACCAGAAUAGGUGGUGGUAAAUUGACAAUAGCUGCAAUGAUUAAUUAUUUUAUUAGCAUAUGGUAUUAAGUACCAGUUAAAUUCUUCACUAAGAAUUCUUAAGAUUUUUUUCUUUGAAUUUCUCAUUCUAUAUGAACUCGAGCUCGAGCAAUGUCAGCUGUGGUUUUGGCAUCAACUUUCUAAACUGUUUUUGUUUUAUUAACACGUUCGCGGACAGUGACGGCAUAUCACGUCAUUGACUCUUGCUUUGCCAGGGCACAAAAAUAAGAGUGACUCAUCUAAAGGCAAUGCUUCAGGAGGCGAAAAUAUAUUUUUACUUGACCUUAUUAUAGAUUUCAGUAACCAACUGACUUUAUAAAGAGGAUCAUUACUGAUAUUUUUAUCAUCUGAACAAUUUGUUCGAAUCUCCUCCUUCCUGAUAUGUUAGCGGGAAAUAUUGGAUGAUAACAUAACGGAUCAAAGGAAAAUAAAUCCCGAAUUGAACGAAAUUUCAGUUGACCAACCAAAAGACAAACUAAAAAAUUUCUUCAAUUCGUCCAAGGAUAGUUGUCGGAAUAUUUUAAACCACUCAAUUCUGGUUUUAGGUCUGUUAGGUAACUUUAAUAACUCGCCAUAUGCGUUUGUUUUAUGUAUAAUAUAAUCUGUCACCUGUCCAGUCCAAAUCAAAUCAAAAAUUUCCACUGAACUCAAGUUCUCAAUAUUUUGUUUAACUCCAACAGACGUGUGAUCGAACAUAAAGUUAAUGGGUUCAAAAAGGUGUCUUCCCAUUCAUUUUCCUCUUGAUCUAAAGGCGUAUCCGAUUCAUCUGAACUUCCGCUAACGACUUGAUCUGAAAUGAAAAUAGUUCGUAGGAAAAAAAUGUCACACAUAUAUAGUGCUUACCUAAUUCAGGCUGUGGUUCUACAUUUUGGGCACGUUUCUUACGUUUUGGUUGUGAUGGACCAGCAAAGAAUUCAAAAAUGGUAUAGUAACCAUCGCGAUUGCGAAAAAAAAUCUACUUACGUUGGUUUGAAUCGUCGCUGGCAUAUGAAGAAUUAAUUUGGGUGUAUUCUGGAUCCUUUACGGAAUCGUCUGUACUAUAAGGGUCGUGUAAGCUUUCAUUUCCGCCUUAAAGCUUCCGUUUACACUUUCAAUCUCGUCAUACCAAGUAAGUAAUUGCUUUUCUUGGUUUUCAUCCAUUUUGAAGGUAUUUACACACACACAUACACUCAAUCUUCGACAAUAACCAAAUGUUCAAUAAAUACCAGAGGUUCUCGAGCCAAAACACACCUAAUGUGUCUGUCAAAUGCCUGACCAAAAUGUUUCCCCCACCAAAAAGCCGUUGAAUAUUUCACCUAUCUUUUCUAAUAUGAGGUGUCUAAUAUGGUGGGACACUUGAUACUCUAGAACAUGCAAAAUGGACGUUAUAUACCGCUAAAAGUAUUAAGAGGCCAAUCUUGAAUUGACAGCAUUUGCCGUCAGUGUCCCGUUGGACGUUGCGGUUUAUGACGGCACUGUCUCACUAGACACAUAUCAAUAGAAAUGAGUGUCCGCGAAUGUGUUAAAAAUGGAGGCAUAAUUAAAUCCACCAACUUUUCAAUACAUUCCUUCACAAUUAAUAUUCCUUUGUCAACCAUAAUUGCAUCAUGCAUAUUUAAUUUAUCUAUAAAUUUCUCAUAAUUAAAAAUAGCCUUAUCUGUAGCAUGACUUCCAAAUCCAGCACUAACAAAUGAUAUCAAAUCGGAUAAAGUUAUUCCAAUAAGAUAUUUUAAAGUAUACAUUUCUUUAUAAUAUACCUAAAUAUGAUGAUAUCUUGCAUUUUUAAUCAUUUGAAUUUCUGUGUAGUCCAAUACUACUCUGUAAUUUUUAUAUUUUUCAAAAUACUGUGGCAUGCUAUUCAAAAGUUACUCUUUGGUUGGCCAAUAAAUUGCUGGUUUUAGACUUAAAGCCAAAAGGCUUACUGUGGAAUAAAAUAGCAGAAGGAAUGUUUAGCUUUAAUUACACAAAACCAAAAUAAUCCUUGUUUCAAUGUUUGGCCAGUUGCAUAGGUUAAGGUUUAUUCAUUCUUCAAUCAUAAUGCGAAUUCCUAUUUAUAGGAAUCAAUAUCAUCAAAAAUGUAAUAUACAUACCACAAAAGUUAAUCAUCUUAUCAUUAGAAUUUGAAAUUUGUGGCAACUCAGUUUGUAUCGCUUUAACUUCAUUAAAAUUAUCAGAAUAUGUGCCUACAUGUGAGGCUAUGACACCUUUGUCUGACUUUGAUAUUGUUUCAGGUCCCUUUCCCUUUAUGCAAAACUAUCACAAUAGAUGAUUUACUUCCAUCAUUGUCGGCGGCAAGUUCUCGAGUUGCCUUAUGCGGAUUUUUCUCAAUAUCUAACAAUUAACAUCUAGCUUUUUUUCAUUAGUAAAUUGAACAUUUCUAACUGUAGACUGCGAAACGUGUUGACCAGGGUAUUUACUAACAAAAAUUUCAGAAACCUCCUUUUGAGUUCUUGUUUUAAUAAUUAUUGAAAUGUUCGCCAUAAAGUGCAUUAUGAAGAAAAUUAUCAUAAAUUGUAGUUUGAUUAAAAUACUUACAGGCGGUAUUGAAACACAAUCAAACAUUUCUAAUUGAACUUGAAUCAUUAACAAUGAUCAGUUUGUUCCUUUUGUUUACCGGUGUUUAGAAUAAGUUUACAUUGUGACGCUGUAAGGCAGAAUCUUGGAAUGCGCCUCAAAGAAAUAUCCUCCAUACACUUUUGAAGUGCAGUGUGUCUACCCCGAACAUUUAUCACAGUUUUUUUGUAUUGAUUGUGUUUUAAUACUUCCUGUAAGUAUUUUCAAUGAAUAAUCACAAUUUAUGAUAAUUUCUCUUUAUGGCUCUUUAUGUUUUUGUUAAGACAUCGAUUGAAAAAUUCAUUUUUGCUAUCUUCAGGUGGUAUAUGUUAUCCCUGCAAAAGUUACGGAUUGAUAACAAUUGGACAUGAGCCGCCCCUGGUCUUCAGAUAGUAGUGUAGAACUAUUUAUUCGAUUAAACACUUCAUAGAUAUACGUAAUCAUCCAAUAAAAAUUUAUAAUGUCAGAAAAUAUACUUGAAUAUAUA